AGGAUAAAUGCCCUUUUAGAAAACACUUCAUAGAGCUGCCUCCCCACUCCCAUGCCUUCUACCCAUUUGAGGACACCUAGACCACAUCGUCUCUGAGGAAUGAGCCUUUUCCUUUCCUAUUCUCCUUCUACCAUGUGAGGACGUAGCUUUACUUUCUGUUCCAUAGGAUGCAACAAUAAGGUACCAUCUUGGAAGCAGAAAGCAGAUCUCACCAGAAACCAAAUCUGCCAGCACCAUGAUGUUGGAUUUCCCAGGCUCCAGAACAGUUUGUUUUUCUUCAGGAAAGGAAAUCAGAUACAACAUAUGUCUUGUGUUUCAUGAUGUCUUUUUAAAAAUUUUUUGACAACCUGGGUGAUACACCAUGCAGGAAGGGCAAGAGUAAUGAUGAUAGACUCACUUUGCUGUCGAAAUUGGAAUGCACUGGUUCCAUCAAGGCUCACUGCAGCCUCAGCCUCCGGGACUCAAACAAUCCUCCCUGCUCAGGCUCUCACCGAGUAUCUGGGAUCACAACUACACCACAUGGUGGAUACACGGACACGAAGGGUUUGA
rnacentral:lncRNA from 1 species